rnacentral:lncRNA from 1 species
AAAAUAAAAGAUACUUCAAUUAGGGCUUUACUGUUUUCCAGUUCAUAACCAAAUCUAUAAAUGCGUUCAGUUACUUCCCUAAGGAGUUAAAUUUCUGUCCUGCAGGUUUUGCUGGAGGUUGAAAAGGGAUUCAGUCCUCCCUGAGUGCUGAGGAAGACCAAAGAGCACGAGCUGUCAAACCGGAAAUCGUGCCAGCAGAAUGCUCAUUGAACACUUGAUGUCAUAUGUCAUCUGACACUGGCUUUUCAUUCAGGUCAUUUCAGGAUAAGAACUCAGUGAAAACUGACUUUUCAGCCAACACUUUCAUUGCUUCCUGAUUGUGCUGAUAUCAGAAACACCGCAAGAAAAGCACUUGAGAGAUUUUUAUAAGAAUAGUUUGCUUUAGGGA